AGCAAAGCAUCGUGCCGCCUUUGCACGGCGGAGGUCAGGGGUUCGACUCCCCUCGGCUCCA
rnacentral:tRNA from 1 species